ensembl:snoRNA SNORA71 Small nucleolar RNA SNORA71
CCCUGCAUUCGAAAGUGAUCAUGGGCUGCCCGUGCCCAGGUCAUUGGUAGUGCAGAGAGAGGAAUCACUGAAAACAUUUCCCCAUGUUUGGAGGGUCCAUUCCUGUCUCUUCCAAACCCUGGGACUUUCCCACA